AGCCGGAAUAGCUCAGUUGGUAGAGCAGAGGACCUGAAAAUC
rnacentral:tRNA from 1 species